rnacentral:rRNA from 1 species
GAUGAACGCUAGCGGCAGGCUUAACACAUGCAAGUCGAGGGGCAGCAUGAUGUAGCAAUACAUUGAUGGCGACCGGCGCAAGGGUGCGUAACGCGUGAGUAACAUGCCCGUAUCAGGGGGAUAACCCGAAGAAAUUCGGACUAAUACCCCAUAGUAAUUUGUGGAGGCAUCUCUAUGAAUUUAAAGCUCCGGCGGAUACGGAUCGACUCGCGUGACAUUAGCUAGAUGGUAAGGUAACGGCUCACCAUGGCGACGAUGUCUAGGGGUUACUGAGAGGAAGGUCCCCCANACUGGAACUGAGACACGGUCCAGACUCCUACGGGAGGCAGCAGUGAGGAAUAUUGGUCAAUGGUCGAAGGACUGAACCAGCCAUGCCGCGUGAAAGGUGACGGCCCUAAUGGGGUCUUAAAACUUCUUUUGUAAGGGAGCAAUAAGUCUCACGUGUGGGAUGAUGAGAGUACCUUACGAAUAAGCAUCGG